rnacentral:rRNA from 1 species
UGGGGAAUAUUGCACAAUGGGCGAAAGCCUGAUGCAGCAACGCCGCGUGAGUGAUGAAGGCCUUCGGGUUGUAAAGCAUCUGUCUUUUGGGACGAUAAUGACGGUACCAAAGGAGGAAGCCACGGCUAACUACGUGCCAGCAGCCGCGGUAAUACGUAGGUGGCAAGCGUUGUCCGGAUUUUACUGGGCGUAAAGGAUGCGUAGGCGGAUUUUUAAGUGAGAUGUGAAAUACCCGGGCUUAACUUGGGUGCUGCAUUUCAAACUGGGAAUCUAGAGUGCGGGAGAGGAGAAUGGAAUUCCUAGUGUAGCGGUGAAAGUGCGUAGAGAUUUAGGAAGAACACCAGUGGCGAAAGGGCGAUUUCUCUGGACCGUAACUGACGCUGAGGCAUGAAAGCGUGGGUAGCAAACAGGAUUAGAUACCCUGGUAGUCCACGCCGUAAACGAUGAGUACUAGGUGUAGGAGGUAUCGACCCCUUCUGUGCCGCAGUUAACACAAUCAAGUACUCCGCCUGGGAAGUACGAUCGCAAGA